AUAUGCGCCACCACGCCCGGCU
rnacentral:piRNA from 1 species